rnacentral:rRNA from 1 species
AUUGAACGCUGGCGGCAUGCUUUACACAUGCAAGUCGAACGGUAACAGGUUAAGCUGACGAGUGGCGAACGGGUGAGUAAUGCAUCGGAACGUGCCCGGUCGUGGGGGAUAACGCAGCGAAAGCUGCGCUAAUACCGCAUACGAUCUGAGGAUGAAAGCGGGGGACCGUAAGGCCUCGCGCGAUCGGAGCGGCCGAUGUCAGAUUAGGUAGUUGGUGGGGUAAAGGCUCACCAAGCCGACGAUCUGUAGCUGGUCUGAGAGGACGACCAGCCACACUGGGACUGAGACACGGCCCAGACUCCUACGGGAGGCAGCAGUGGGGAAUUUUGGACAAUGGGCGCAAGCCUGAUCCAGCAAUGCCGCGUGCAGGAAGAAGGCCUCGGGUUGUAAACUGCUUUGUUACGGAGCGAAAAGGUACUUUCCUAAUACGGGAGGCUGAUGACGGUACCGUAAGAAUAAGCACCGGCUAACUACGUGCCAGCAGCCGCGGUAA